CACCACCUCCAUCACCUUCAUUCUCCCGUCAAACCCACCACCUCCUAACACGCGAUGCCCACCUUCACAGUAACCGUCUCAAAUCCCUAAACCUCACCACCACCUUCAUUCUCUUUUCAAACCCAAUCAACCACGACCACAUCACUUCACCUUCUCCGUCCUUAUCUUCACAACACAAAGCCGCUGCAACCACCUAAUCACUCUUCUCCAAAUCAAGCCAUAGUUGCGAACGCCUCUCUUCCUGAACCCCAAAUCAAACCAAAGUCGCUGCCAUCGCCAUUUCUCCUACCUUCGCCUUCCCCAAAUUUGCACCCGCACCACUUCACCUACCAUCCUUAUUCUCUCUACUGUCACUGUCGAUUCGUGGUCGUCCUCAGAACUGUGCUCCACCCUUCUGGUUUGUCAUCCAUGUUUAUCUCUCUCCACCGUCAUCUAUUCUGUAGGUUUUAUCCCCUUCUUUCAACAAAAUUGCGUCUCUGAUUGUGUCUCAGCCAUCAUUGUUCCAUGUUUCUUCUUCUUUCUUAGUUGCUGGACUAUCUGGGCAGAUGACUUGGAUAAGAGGUGGUCCGACAUGUUUGGAUGCUAGCAACAUUAUUGAAGCUAUAGAUAACAGAAUGCUUACAUAAGCAGAAUCAAAUGGGCAUCAUUGUCAAGCCAUUGCUCCAUUUAGCAACCAUUUCUUGCUGUUGGUCUCUAAGAUUACUUCAGUUCAAACUCCAUCUAAUUCAGGAGGAAUAUGUACUGCUUCAGCUAUCAGUCUGGCGAAUUGGAGCAUCUGAUGAAUGUAUGAUUACCAAGCAUUUUGUGUUCAUUAAUCUCUGUUUACUAUGGUUAAAUGAACGUGUAUUUCCUCAGUGUUCUGGAUUUCAUUGUCUUGUAUGCUAUGUUAACUGCCACCUCUACGAAGGAUGUUGUUAUCCUCAUGAUAUACAAUUAUCUAUCAGAUUUAAUAAAAAUCUAUCUGUUUAAUGGCAGGUCGAUGAGAUGAUUGGUGUCACUCAUCAUCCUCGUAGUAAUCUUGUUGCAACUUAUAGUG